UACGGAGGGUGCAAGCGUUAUCCGGAAUCACUGGGUUUAAAGGGUGCGGAGGCGGCUAGAUAAGUCAGAGGUGAAAGUUUGUCGCUUAACGAUAGAACUGCCUUUGAUACUGUUAAGCUUGAAAGUAGGUGAGGUUGGCGGAAUGUGACAUGUAGCGGUGAAAUGCAUAGAUAUGUCAUAGAACACCGAUUGUGAAGGCAGCCGGCGAACCUGACUGUGACGCUGAGGCACGAAAGCGUGGGUAGCGAACAGG
rnacentral:rRNA from 1 species